UGGGGAAUUUUGGACAAUGGGCGCAAGCCUGAUCCAGCCAUGCCGCGUGAGUGAAGAAGGCCUUCGGGUUGUAAAGCUCUUUCGGCUGGGACGAAAAGGUCCGUAUUAACACCACGGAUCCAUGACGGUACCAGCAGAAGAAGCACCGGCUAACUACGUGCCAGCAGCCGCGGUAAUACGUAGGGUGCAGGCGUUAAUCGGAAUUACUGGGCGUAAAGCGUGCGCAGGCGGUUUGCUAAGACAGGUGUGAAAUCCCCGGGCUUAACCUGGGAACUGCGCUUGUAACUGGCAAGCUGGAGUGUGGCAGAGGGGGGUGGAAUUCCACGUGUAGCAGUGAAAUGCGUAGAGAUGUGGAGGAACACCGAUGGCGAAGGCAGCCCCCUGGGCUAACACUGACGCUCAUGCACGAAAGCGUGGGGAGCAAACAG
rnacentral:rRNA from 1 species